rnacentral:rRNA from 1 species
CCUACGGGAGGCAGCAGUGAGGAAUCUUGGUCAAUGGGCGCGAGUCUGAACCAGCCAAGUAGCGUGAAGGAUGACUGCCCUACGGGUUGUAAACUUCUUUUAUAAAGGAAUAAAGUGAGGCACGUGUGCCUUUUUGUCUGUACUUUAUGAAUAAGGAUCGGCUAACUCCGUGCCAGCCGCCGCGGUAAUACGGAGGAUCCGAGCGUUAUCCGGAUUUAUUGGGUUUAAAGGGAGAGUAGAUGGGUUGUUAAGUCAGUUGUGAAAGUUUGCGGCUCAACCGUAAAAUUGCAAUUGAUACUGGCAGCCUUGAGUACAGUAGAGGUAGGCGGAAUUCGUGGUGUAGCGGUGAAAUGCUUAGAGAUCACGAAGAACUCCGAUUGCGAAGGCAGCCUACUAAACUGCCACUGACAUUGAGGCUCGAAAGUGUGGGUAUCAAACAGGAUUAGAUACCCGAGUAGUC